GACGAACGCUGGCGGCGUGCUUAACACAUGCAAGUCGAACGAUGAACCCGGAGCUUGCUCCGGUGGAUGAGUGGCGAACGGGUGAGUAACACGUGAGUAACAUGCCCUUGACUCUGGGAUAAUUGCGGGGAAAUGUAGCUAAUAACGGAUACGACCCUCGGCGGCAUCGCUAGGGGGUGGAGAGCAUGUCGGUCAAGGAUGGCCUCGCGGCCCAUCAGCUAGUUGGGGAGGUAACGGCUCACGAAGGCGACGACGGGUAGCCGGCGUGAGAGGGUGACCGGCCACACUGGGACUGAGACACGGCCCAGACGCCUACGGGAGGCAGCAGUGGGGAAUAUUGCACAAUGGGCGCAAGCCUGAUGCAGCAACGCCGCGUGAGGGAUGACGGCCUUCGGGUUGUAAACCUCUUUUAGUAGGGAAGAAGCGAAAGUGACGGUACCUGCAGAAAAAGCACCGGCUAACUACGUGCCAGCCGCCGCAGUAA
rnacentral:rRNA from 1 species